rnacentral:rRNA from 1 species
GAUUAUGGACAAUAGGGGCAACCCGGAUCCGGCCAUGAAGCAAGAGUGAUGAAGGCCUUAGGGUCGUAAAGCUCUUUCGCCAAGAAGAUAACGACGGUACAGGUAAAGAACCCCCGGAUAACUCCGGGCCAGCAGCGGUGGUAAUAAGGAGGGGGUUAUCGUUGUUAGGAAUUAGUGGGAGAAAAGCGGACGUAGGCGGACUGGAUAGUAGGGGAAGUAAUCCCGGGGAUCAACCGAGGAACUGUCUCCAAAACUAUCAGUGAAGAGUUCGAAAGAGGUGAGAAUAAUUCCGAGAGUAGAGAAAAAUUAGUAAUAUUAGAGGAACACCAGGUUUAAGGCGAUUCAAGGGUUAGAUAAAGACGAGGAGGGAAAAAUGGGGAGAGCACACGAAGUACCAUAUACUGUGGUAGCACGCCCUGUA